rnacentral:rRNA from 1 species
AACGAACGCUGGCGGCAUGCCUAACACAUGCAAGUCGAACGAGACCUUCGGGUCUAGUGGCGCACGGGUGCGUAACGCGUGGGAACCUGCCCUUAGGUUCGGAAUAACUCCCCGAAAGGGGUGCUAAUACCGGAUAAUGUCUUCGGACCAAAGAUUUAUCGCCUUUGGAUGGGCCCGCGUUGGAUUAGCUAGUUGGUAGGGUAAAAGCCUACCAAGGCGACGAUCCAUAGCUGGUCUGAGAGGAUGAUCAGCCACACUGGGACUGAGACACGGCCCAGACUCCUACGGGAGGCAGCAGUGGGGAAUAGUGGACAACGGGCGAAAGCCUGAUCCAGCAAUGACGCGUGAGUGAUGAAGGCAUUAGGGUUGUAAAGCUCUUUUACCCGGGAUGAUAAUGACAGUACCGGGAGAAUAAGCUCCGGCUAACUCCGUG